AUUGAACGCUGGCGGCAGGCUUAACACAUGCAAGUCGAGCGGGGGAAGGUAGCUUGCUACUGGACCUAGCGGCGGACGGGUGAGUAAUGCUUAGGAAUCUGCCUAUUAGUGGGGGACAACAUCUCGAAAGGGAUGCUAAUACCGCAUACGUCCUACGGGAGAAAACAGGGGAUCGUCGGACCUUGCGCUAAUAGAUGAGCCUAAGUCGGAUUAGCUAGUUGGUGGGGUAAAGGCCUACCAAGGCGACGAACUGUAGGGGGUCUGAGAAGAUGAUCCGCUACACUGGGACGGAGACACGGCCCAGACUCCUACGGGAGGCAGCAGUGGGGAAUAUUGGACAAUGGGGGGAACCCUGAUCCAGCCAUGCCGCGUGUGUGAAGAAGGCCUUAUGGUUGUAAAGCACUUUAAGCGAGGAGGAGGCUACCCUAGUUAAUACCUAGGGAUAGUGGACGUUACUCGCAGAAUAAGCACCGGCUAACUCUGUGCCAGCCGCCGCAGUAA
rnacentral:rRNA from 1 species